rnacentral:rRNA from 1 species
UACGAAGGGGGCUAGCGUUGCUCGGAAUCACUGGGCAUAAAGGGCGCGUAGGCGGCUCCAAAAGUCAGGGGUGAAAUCCGGCAGCUUAACUGUCGCAGUGCCUUUGAUACUGUGGAGCUAGAGGUAGGUAGGGGUCUGUGGAACUUCCGGUGGAGCGGUGAAAUGCGUUGAUAUCGGAAGGAACGCCGGUGGCGAAAGCGACGGACUGGAUCUCUUCUGACGCUGAGGCGCGAAAGCCAGGGGAGCAAACGGG